rnacentral:lncRNA from 1 species
UUUGUGGAUAGAAAUUGGAGGGGAAUGGUGAUGCUCGAUUGUAUCAAUGAUAUGCAUAAGAGAAACCAAGGCUGCAUAUGCCGCCAUGAUCCAAGGAAAAACAGUGUAUAUUUUUCUGAGAAAGAAUUUGAUAGAAUCUGAGUUUAGGUUGAGCAAAAACAAUGUGUAAAAUGGGUAUAUCUCCUCUUCUCAAUUAUUAUCAGAAACAUUAUGUGUGCAGCUUUUCAUCCACCUUUCAGAAUCACAUUACUGCCAAACAGCUAAGAUAAGAGAAGACAUGUCGGUUGACCCUACAGUUUACUAGUCUCCUAUAUCACAUUCUGCUAAUUAUGCUAAUUAUGAAAUAAUGACUAUGCUAAUUAUGAAAUAAUGGAGCAAAAGAGUAGAAAGCUACAAUUGAAUUUUUUUUUAGGUAGGUGAUCAUUUAGUGUAGCAUGCAUUAUGCUAUGCUUAAAUGUGCAUACUAAUAAGAGUCAAAAUAAAACCUUUUGGAAUAUGAUUUGUCUUCUCGCAGUGCACUACUUAAAAAAAAAAGGCGGGCAAUGUCCAAUCCUCAUACAGCUAAGAAACAUUAAAUUUAUACUAUAUUAAAAAGGGAGUUUCCAAUUUGAAAUUGAUUUCAAAUUGAUUUAGGUGGCAAUUUUGUGAAUACUAAAAAAAUUAAAGUCAGAAGUUCAAACUCAAAUUUAUUGUGAAAUUCUACUAAUUAUAAAAUAUUUGAUAUUGAUAUCAAAUUAAAGAUCAUGACAAGAGCUUUAAUUUGAUAUAUUUUAUGUAAAUAUAUGAUUUGAAAUGUACAAAUUAAAUUUGUUUAAAUAUUAGAAUUUUAUAAAUUUCUCUCUCCUCUCUCAUCUUUUUGAAAAAAAAUGUAUUUUAAAUUCUUUUCUAAUAGUAUUUUUUUUUUGGCUUUUCAUAAUAUCAAAUUUUAUAAUUGUAAAUUCUUUUUUAUUUUUUAAUAUUCAAUUCUAAUAUAUUUAGUUAAAAAUAAAAUUUAUUAUAUUUAUGAGUAUGAUAAUUAAAUUAAUAUUAUUUUUAUAUAAAUAUAAAAAAUAAAAAAUAUUUUCCCGUGCAGUGCACGGGAUGCAAAUGCUAGUUACAUGUAAAAGAGUGUGGUGCUCGAUCUGAUUGAUGGUAUUCAUAAGAGAAACCUUUUACACAUAUAUACAUAACAAUGUAAGGUAUGCAAAUGCUAGUUACAUGCAUAUGCCGCCAUGAUCCAAGGAAAAAGAGUGUAUAUUUUUCUGAGAAAUAAUUUGAUGGAAUCUGAGUUUAGGUUCAGCAAAAACAAUGUGUAAAAUGGCUAUAUCUCCUCAAUUAUUAUCACAAACAAUGUGUCCUUGGCGUCAUUUAACUAUGCGCUGAUUCAAGUCUUUAAAAAUAAGAAUAUAUGAGUAGAGUAGGUGAGUGAUGUUGAUUUCCAUGUUCUAAUUCAUGCAUCCAAGAAUAAACUAUGAUUAAUGAUGCAAUUGGUUGGUAUUCACCUUUGAAAUUUCCGAAUAGGUU